UUAUAGAUGGACCCGCGGUGUAUUAGCUAGUUGGUGAGGUAACGGCUCACCAAGGCAACGAUACAUAGCCGACCUGAGAGGGUGAUCGGCCACACUGGGACUGAGACACGGCCCAGACUCCUACGGGAGGCAGCAGUAGGGAAUNUUCCGCAAUGGACGAAAGUCUGACGGANGCAACGCCGCGNGAGNGAAGAAGGUUUUCGGAUCGUAAAACUCUGUUGUAAGGGAAGAACAAGUACGUUAGUAACUGAACGUACCUNUNAGACNNGNGUACNUUCUUACCAGAAAGCCACGGCUAACUACGUGCCAGCAGCCGCGGUAAUACGUAGGUGGCAAGCGUUAUCCGGAAUUAUUGGGCGUAAAGCGCGCGUAGGCGGUCUCUUAAGUCUGAUGUGAAAGCCCCCGGCUCAACCGGGGAGGGUCAUUGGAAACUGGGAGACUUG
rnacentral:rRNA from 1 species